rnacentral:rRNA from 1 species
CCUACGGGAGGCAGCAGUGGGGGAUAUUGGACAAUGGGGGAAACCCUGAUCCAGCGACGCCGCGUGAGUGAAGAAGUCUUUCGGUAUGUAAAGCUCUGUUAGCAGGGAAGAAAGAAAUGACGGUACCUGACCAUGAAGCCCCGGCUAACUACGUGCCAGCAGCCGCGGUAAUACGUAGGGGGCAAGCGUUAUCCGGAAUUAAUGGGUGGAAAGGGAGCGUAGACGGUGAGGCAAGUCUGGAGUGAAAGGCGGGGGCCCAACCCCCGGACUGCUCUGGAAACUGUGUAACUUGAGUGCAGGGGAGGUAAGCGGAAUUCCGAGUGUAGCGGUGAAAUGCGGAGAUAUUAGGAGGAACACCAGUGGCGAAGGCGGCUUGCUGGACUGUAACUGACGUUGAGGCUCGAAAGCGUGGGGAGCAAACAGGAUUAGAUACCCUAGUAGUC